AAUGGUGAAUGUUUAUGCCCCCACGUGUCACUUGGAAUACAUGUUACUGGUGGUUAAAGAAAAGCGAUCUUCAACUUGCAAGAGUUCAGCUGUAGGCAGACAGACUUUAUGAUGGAAUUACUGAUCAGCUGACUGACUGUAAACAGGGGAUUGUUUGCAGAGACCUCGGUUGUACCUGAACUGUUCGGGAUAUGAACAUGAACUGGAAGAUAUAUCGCAACGAUAAGUUCAAAAGAAGGUUAAGAUAACUCAGAGUUUUAAAACAAUUUUAAAAAAAGAGGCUUAAAUGGGAAGAAAACAAGGAAUGCACAAGCGGUGGACGAAAGGUUGCGAGAAGGAGCAAAGAGGAAUGAAAAGGCCCAAUACAGAAUCGGAGUGGAAAGGAAGGAGAAAUGUCAAGAAUAUCUCACUCUCUCUUGCAAGACUUGUACAUGUACUUUUAUAGCUUUACCGUUGUUUUUAUUAAGCUCGUACACUUGUACAGUGUAGUGCAACUGGAGAGAAAGCGCAAAUUGGGAGCCAGAUAACGGUACAGACGGACAUCCUUGUUGUAUUUGAAGAAUAAUUUUUCUGAGUCUUUUGGCGGGAAAUGUGGGUAUGGCCCACUUGAUGUUCUCUCUACCUUACUUUAAGAUGUCAUGAAAAAUGACCAUCUCCAGCAAGAGCCAUUGAAAAAUGUCAACCUUGGAAUGAACGAAAAACUGGGGGUCGAUCCGCCACCGUCCCCCACCACACCCACCUCUUAUAGACAGUUGUUUUGUAAUUUGAGACAAGUUCAUCCUUAUGGUGAAACUACAUCUUUAUUACGAACACAUGCGUAUUGUAAGACACAUGCUUAUUACGAUAUG